rnacentral:rRNA from 1 species
GAUGAACGCUAGCGGCAGGCUUAACACAUGCAAGUCGAGGGGUAACAGGGAAGAGCUUGCUUUUCUGCUGACGACCGGCGCACGGGUGCGUAACGCGUAUAGAACCUACCUUUUACAGGGGAAUAGCCCAGAGAAAUUUGGAUUAAUGCCCCAUAGUAUUAUUGAAUGGCAUCAUUUAAUAAUUAAACAUUUAUGGGUAAAAGAUGGCUAUGCGUUCUAUUAGCUAGAUGGUAAGGUAACGGCUUACCAUGGCAACGAUAGAUAGGGGUCCUGAGAGGGAGAUCCCCCACACUGGUACUGAGACACGGACCAGACUCCUACGGGAGGCAGCAGUGAGGAAUAUUGGACAAUGGAGGCAACUCUGAUCCAGCCAUGCCGCGUGCAGGAAGACGGUCCUAUGGAUUGUAAACUGCUUUUAUAUAGGAAGAAACCUUUCCACGUGUGGAAAGCUGACGGUACUAUAAGAAUAAGCACCGGCUAACUCCGUGCCAGCAGCCGCGGUAAUACGGAGGGUGCAAGCGUUAUCCGGAAUCAUUGGGUUUAAAGGGUCCGUAGGCGGACUAAUAAGUCAGGGGUGAAAUCCAACAGCUUAACUGUUGAACUGCCUUUGAUACUGUUAGUCUUGAGUUAUAUGGAAGUAGAUAGAAUAUGUAGUGUAGCGGUGAAAUGCUUAGAGAUUACAUAGAAUACCGAUUGCGAAGGCAGUCUACUACGU